AGUCUCCCUCCUGCCUAAAGCCCAGGAAUAGUAUUGAAGCUAAUAACUAUACAGAGCCUUUUGUCUAAAUCCAAAUGGCCAGGAACACUUGAUCCCUAUGGAAAGGAACUGAAGAUAAGAAAUGUCCUGCCUAAGAUAGUUGGCAGGACAGCAAAGCUGCAUGACACAGGAGGCUUUCACCAAGGUUCCUCAGAUGCAGCAUCCUCACUGAGCAGCAGAGGGAAAAAAGGCUGGGGUAGUGUACUUGGUAUGGCUGAUGUCUCUCACCUUUCCUCAGAUACACUGUGUGUACUGAGCAAACAUCCUGGUGAACUGCAUGUGCCGGCCAGAUCUUACUAGUCCAAGCCUCUCCACAGGUAACAGCCAGUUUGGGCCUGUGUUGAAGGAUAGAAGAGGCUCAAGUCUUGCUGAUGUACCUUGGAGCUCGCUCCCGGCCCAUGUAAGCAUGGAUUCACAGCAGAACUGUUUGGAAACUAAGUGAGUCUGAGCUUGCAUAUACAAUAUAGGAGCAGGCAUGGAACGAAACUCCCCAU
rnacentral:lncRNA from 1 species